CAGUAGCCACGGGAAUACGAAGGGGGCUAGCGUUGUUCGGAUUUACUGGGCGUAAAGGGUGCGUAGGCGGACUGAUAAGUCAGGGGUGAAAUCCCAAGGCUCAACCUUGGAACUGCCUUUGAUACUGUUAGUCUUGAGUUCGAGAGAGGUGAGUGGAAUUGCGAGUGUAGAGGUGAAAUUCGUAGAUAUUCGCAGGAACACCAGUGGCGAAGGCGGCUCACUGGCUCGAUACUGACGCUGAGGUGCGAAAGCGUGGGGAGCAAACAGGAUUAGAUACCCCUGUAGUCCCUGUCUCUUAUAC
rnacentral:rRNA from 1 species